GGAAGUAAAAGUCGUAACAAUGUUUCCGUAGGUGAACCUGCGGAAGGAUCAUUCAUAAUAAAGUGUUUUAUGGCACUUUUUAAAAAUCCAUAUCCACCUUGUGUGCAAUGUUAGAUCUCGUCAAUCUUGGCGAGAUUUUUAUACAUCAACUCAUUCUUUAACUAAUUUGUCUGAAAAAUAUUAUGAAUACUUAAUUCAAAAUACAACUUUCAACAACGGAGCGAUGGGCUCUCGCAUCGAGGAAGAACGCAGC
rnacentral:misc_RNA from 1 species